rnacentral:lncRNA from 1 species
GAUGGUAGAAAAAAAUGUAAGUAGUGUUUUCAUAUCUACAAAAGGACAGGAACUUAGCAAUGCAACAUUAAUGCUGUUAUACUUCCAGUUUACUAGGGAAUGCAUGUCUACGGACAAGACAUUUUUUCACUUUAUUUGUAUAUCCAACUUUGAUGGCAUAUAUCUCCAGCUAGGGUACUGCAAUAUUGAUAUAUGAGGUAGUUUUUGAUAAUGUAUAUACUAGAAGAGAAAACAAAACACAUAACAGCAUAAAUUUGAUUUAUUUUUCUCUUUUAUCACUACACUGAG